ensembl:lncRNA
UUACUUACCAGGUGAAGUUACUAUGAGCUUAGUCCCUUCAGCAAAUAUCUUGAUCCAACCAGUGCUAUAAUCCCAUCCUGCACAGUAGUAAAUGGCCAUGUCUUCUUUCUCUACGGACUUGAUGGUAAGGAUUGAAGUGAGAGUUUGAGAAUUCUUUCUUGCUUCCACUUUGUUGCUCCUCUUACCCAUGCUGCCUUGAACUGCAGAUUUUGUUGAGAUAAUAUAGAUCAGAUGCUCCAAAGCCUGAUUCGGUUUCUGCCAGUACCAGUGAAUGACAUCGUUUUCAAAGUUUGUGCUCCAUAUCUUGCAAGGCUGCCUCUUGUGAACCCCUUCACAGGACUGAAAGCAAAAAGCACCCGAGACAAAACAGUCGACAUGGAUUUCCAGGGCACUUGGAGGCAACCACCCAAGUCCACUCUGAGAAGGGUUGAACCUGCUUUAUUAAAAGGACUGAGGAUCAUGUAUGUUGGUGGGUUUGGACUCUCCUGUAAGGUAAAUGGGUGUGUCAGGGGGUGGAGGUGGGGAAGGAGUGUCUGUGAUCUUGUGGGUGUGAUCUCUUUAUUAGAGGAUUUUUGUUCAUUGAAGUAGGUGUAUGAGUUGUUAUUGUUAUUGUUGCUGUUGUUUAAGUAGUUUAGGGUGCCAUGUCAUGUAAUAUUUGGAAUAUACAUAAACCAAAAACUUGUUAUUUACCUGAACUUCCAAAUUCCCUGGGUAUUGUCUAUUUUGUUUGGCAGCCCUACCCUCAGAAAGUGAACUGAGAUCUGCAGUGCACCUGAAUUCACAGAUGGAGAUAUAGGGGACGAAACAAGUAGAGUAAUGUUAAUGUGAAAAUUCAGUAGGGCAUACACAGAUUUUCACCUCCUCUAUAAGAAGUAUAUAGAGAUACACAUUUAAAAUAUACAUAAUGAGAUGUAGAACAAUGUCCCUCUUUGUUGUUGUGUUGGCCUAGCUCAGAGAGUUCAGUUUCUGCUGUCAUCACAGCUGUGAAUGAGAAAGGGAGGGGGCUCUGGUUGGUCUCCCUCUGCCUCUGGACCACACGUGCAGGACAUGAAGCUGCCAUAGGAGCAGCUCUGAAAGCUGAGUUCUCACCGUCUGUUGCAGGAAGUCAGGGACCCCGAAUGGAGGGACCAGCUGAAGCUGCAGCAGAAGAACAUAAAUUGUGAAGAUUUCAUGGACAUUUAUCAGUUCCCCAAAUUAAUACUUUUAUAAUUUCUUACGCCUGUCUUUACUGCAGUCUUUGAACAUAAAUUGUGAAGAUUUCAUGGACAUUUAUCACUUCCCCAGUCAAUACUCUUAUAAUUUCUUAUGCCUGUCUAUACUUUAAUCUCUUAAUCCUGUCAUCUUCAUAAGCUGAGGGUGUAUGUCACCUCAGGACCCUGCGAUGAUUGCAUUAUCUGUACAAAUUGUUUGUAAAACACGUGUGUUUGAACAAUAUAAAAUCUGGGCACCCUGAAAAAGAACAGGAUAGCAGCAAUUUUCAGGGAACAAGGGAUAUAACCAUAAGAUCUGACUGCCUGUGGUGUCAGGCACAACAGAGUCAUAUUUUUCUUCUUGCAGAAAGCAAAUAGGAGAAAUAUCACUGAAUUCUUUUCCCAGCAAGGAAUAACCCUGGGGAAGGAAUGCAUUCCCAGGGGUAGGCCUAUUGACGACCGCUCUAGGACUGUCUGUCUUAUGCGGUUGAAGAUAAGGGACGAAAUACGUCCUGGUCUCCUGUAGUGCCCUCAGGCUUACUAGGUUGGGGAAAUUCCAGGCUGGUGAAUUCUAGUCAGACCAGUUUUCUGCUCUCGAAUCCUGUUUCCUGGUAAGAUGUUUAUCAAGAUAGUAUGUACCCAGUGGGACAUGGAAGCUCAUCAGUAAUUCUAAUUUUGCCCUGGCCUUGUGAUCUUGCUCUGCCCUUCUGCCCUUGUGAUCUUUUAUUGCCCUUUGAAACAUGUGAUCUUUGUGACUUACUCCCUAUUCAUACACCCCUCCCCUUUUGAAAUCCCUAAUAAAAAUUUGCUGGCUUUGCGGCUCA